ensembl:lncRNA
AGAGAGAAAGGCAUUUGGACAUUACAGGUUGUCUGCAAUAUUGCACACCGACCACUUAGGUGCAAAUAGUGCCGAUCGCCUUCAAUGACAACGGAAUAAUGUCUAACUUCAGAAAUGGCGAUUUGCCAUCAGAAACUGCAGCCAGCUGGAUGUGGGGUGGACAGGACGUACCUGUAUUCUAUGCAGUGACUGUUCAGGUGAUGGCAAGAUGACUGUUAUUUCCUGCUCAACCUUCUCAGACACAGUGUGUGGCUGCUAGGAUGGCUACAACAUUACCUCAAUGGGUGAUUGCCAGAAAUAAGUGUUUACAGUUGAUUCAGUCAAUCUGCAAUUGUAUUUGAAAAUAAU